rnacentral:rRNA from 1 species
GAUGAACGCUAGCGGCAGGCUUAACACAUGCAAGUCGAGGGGUAGAAUUAGCUUGCUAAUUUGAGACCGGCGCACGGGUGCGUAACGCGUAUGCAACCUACCUUUCACAGGGGGAUAGCCCAGAGAAAUUUGGAUUAAUACCCCAUGGUAUAUUAGUAUGGCAUCAUAUUAUUAUUAAAGUUCCAACGGUGAAAGAUGGGCAUGCGUCCCAUUAGUUAGUUGGUAAGGUAACGGCUUACCAAGACGAUGAUGGGUAGGGGUCCUGAGAGGGAGAUCCCCCACACUGGUACUGAGACACGGACCAGACUCCUACGGGAGGCAGCAGUGAGGAAUAUUGGUCAAUGGGCGCAAGCCUGAACCAGCCAUGCCGCGUGCAGGAUGAAGCAUCUAUGGUGUGUAAACUGCUUUUGUACGGGAAGAAACCACCCCUCGUGAGGGGUAUUGACGGUACCGUAAGAAUAAGGAUCGGCUAACUCCGUG